AGUGUAGGCGGUUUGAAAAGUCGGGUGUGAAAGCCCAGGGCCCAACCCUGGAACUGCAUCCGAUACUGUCAGGCUAGAGUCCCGGAGAGGGUGGCGGAAUUCCCGGUGUAGGGGUGAAAUCCGUAGAUAUCGGGAGGAACACCAGUGGCGAAGGCGGCCACCUGGACGGUGACUGACGCUGAGACUCGAAAGUGUGGGUAGCAAACAGGAUUAGAUACCCUGGUAGUC
rnacentral:rRNA from 1 species